ensembl:rRNA 5S_rRNA 5S ribosomal RNA
UCUGAGGCCAUACCACUCUGAAUGCACCCUAUCUUCUCUUAUCUUGGAUGCUAAGCAGAUCUGGCCUGGUUAGUACUUGGAUGGGAGGCAGUGGAUUGUGAGUGCAUUCACCA